rnacentral:rRNA from 1 species
UACGUAGGCAGCGAGCGUUGUUCGGAAUUACUGGGCGUAAAGAGUGUGUAGGUGGUGCUCUAAGUUUGGUGUGAAAUCUCCCGGCUCAACCGGGAGGGUGCAUCGAAAACUGGAGUGCUAGAGGAUGGGAGAGGCAAGCGGAAUUCCUGGUGUAGCGGUGAAAUGCGUAGAUAUCAGGAGGAACACCUGUGGUGCAGACAGCUUGCUGGACCAUUUCUGACACUGAGACACGAAAGCGUGGGUAGCAAACAGG